rnacentral:rRNA from 1 species
AGUGAACGCUGGCGGUAGGCCUAACACAUGCAAGUCGAACGGCAGCACAGUAAGAGCUUGCUCUUACGGGUGGCGAGUGGCGGACGGGUGAGGAAUACAUCGGAGUCUACUUUUUCGUGGGGGAUAACGUAGGGAAACUUACGCUAAUACCGCAUACUACCUACGGGUGAAAGCAGGGGGUCUUCGGACCUUGCGCGAUUGAAUGAGCCGAUGUCGGAUUAGCUAGUUGGCGGGGUAAAGGCCCACCAAGGCGACGAUCCGUAGCUGGUCUGAGAGGAUGAUCAGCCACACUGGAACUGAGACACGGUCCAGACUCCUACGGGAGGCAGCAGUGGGGAAUAUUGGACAAUGGGCGCAAGCCUGAUCCAGCCAUACCGCGUGGGUGAAGAAGGCCUUCGGGUUGUAAAGCCCUUUUGUUGGGAAAGAAAAGCAGCAGGUUAAUACCCCGCUGUUCUGACGGUACCCAAAGAAUAAGCACCGGCUAACUUCGUG